GACGGUGAGCUGAAUUUGAUAUUUUAUCGCAGGAUUCAGACAGAGUAUCCAUCUUAAAGCUCAAAUUCUUCAACUUCAAAUCACAUGUACUCAUGUAAAGCCUCCAUAAACAAUAUUCUGAAAGUGUAAGCUUCAGACGUGGAUCAAAGACUGAUGCCAUAGUGAAAACAUCACUAACUUCUUCCAAGUACUUAUCAAACUUCUCCUUCAUUGGUAUG
rnacentral:lncRNA from 1 species